rnacentral:rRNA from 1 species
AUUGAACGCUGGCGGCAUGCCUUACACAUGCAAGUCGAACGGUAACAGGUCUUCGGAUGCUGACGAGUGGCGAACGGGUGAGCAAUACAUCGGAACGUGCCUAGUAGUGGGGGAUAACUACUCGAAAGAGUGGCUAAUACCGCAUGAGAUCUACGGAUGAAAGCAGGGGAUCGCAAGACCUUGUGCUACUAGAGCGGCCGAUGGCAGAUUAGGUAGUUGGUGGGACAAAAGCUUACCAAGCCGACGAUCUGUAGCUGGUCUGAGAGGACGAUCAGCCACACUGGGACUGAGACACGGCCCAGACUCCUACGGGAGGCAGCAGUGGGGAAUUUUGGACAAUGGGCGAAAGCCUGAUCCAGCAAUGCCGCGUGCAGGAUGAAGGCCUUCGGGUUGUAAACUGCUUUUGUACGGAACGAAAAGCCCUGGGUUAAUACCCUGGGGUCAUGACGGUACCGUAAGAAUAAGCACCGGCUAACUACGUGCCAGCCGCCGCGGUAA